CCCUUAGAUGUCCUGGGCUGCACGCGCGCUACACCGUAGAAAGCAGCGUGCUUUAAAACCUUUCCUGAAAAGGAUGGGUAACCCCAGCAAAAUUCUACGUGCUUGGGAUAGAGAUUUGCAAUUUUCUCUCUUGAACGAGGAAUUCCCAGUAAGUGCGAGUCAUCAGCUCGCGUUGAUUACGUCCCUGCCCUUUGUACACACCGCCCGUCGCUACUACCGAUUGGGAAAAUUUUAGAGAGUCCUGGACUGAUGAUUGUUCGGCUUCACGGCCUUACUUUCGUCGGGAAAGAAUUCGAUAAUAUUUUUCUAGAGGAAGUAAAAGCCGUAACA
rnacentral:rRNA from 1 species